GAACGCACAUUGCGCCCCCUGGUAUUCCGGGGGGCAUGCCUGUUCGAGCGUCAUUUCACCACUCAAGCCUCGCUUGGUAUUGGGCGUCGCGAGUCUCUCGCGCGCCUUAAAGUCUCCGGCUGUUUGACCCGUCUCCCAGCGUUGUGGCAACUAUUUCGCAGUGGAGUUCGAGUUGGAUCGGCCGUUAAAUCUUUCAAAGGUUGACCUCGGAUCAGGUAGGGAUACCCGCUGAACUUAAG
rnacentral:misc_RNA from 1 species